rnacentral:rRNA from 1 species
UACAGAGGGUGCGAGCGUUAAUCGGAAUUACUGGGCGUAAAGCGUGCGUAGACGGUUAUUUAAGUCGGGGUGUGAAAUCCCCGGGCUCAACCUGGGAACUGCAUGCAAAACUGGCAAGCUAGAGUAUGGUAGAGGGUGGUGGAAUUUCCUGUGUAGCGGUGAAAUGCGUAGAUAUAGGAAGGAACACCAGUGGCGAAGGCGACCACCUGGACUGAUACUGACACUGAGGUGCGAAAGCGUGGGGAGCAAACAGG